rnacentral:rRNA from 1 species
GUUCCAGCAGCCGCGGUAACACGUAGGAGACAAGCGUUAUCCGGAUUUACUGGGUGUAAAGCGCGUGCAGGCGGUCUGGUAAGUUGGAUGUGAAAGCUCCUGGCUUAACUGGGAGAGGUCGUUCAAUACUGCUGGACUAGAGGAUGGCAGAGGGGAGUGGAAUUCCGAGUGUAGCGGUAAAAUGCAUAGAUAUUCGGAAGAACACCAGUGGCGAAGGCGGCUCUCUGGGCCAUUUCUGACGCUCAGACGCGAAAGCUAGGGUAGCAAACGGGAUUAGAAACCCGCGUAGUCC